UGGUGGUGGGCUAUACCGACCCAUGCACACCCACACCCACACCCAGACACACACACACACACACACACACACAUACACACACACAAUAAAUUCAAGAGUUGCUAUAUUACCGACAGUUUUCAAGAAGCACCAGCAGCAAGAGACGCAGUGGCAAGCCUUCACCACAACACUCCACACUGCCUAAUCUUCGUCUAUUAAAGGCUCAGAUGUGUAGAUGGAAGGUGUGGGAGAAAGGAGAAUGAGUAACCUUGGAGGAGGAUGAAGAAGAAAUGAGAAAUAAAGGUGGAAUAGAAGCUGCUGCCAAGGUUUAAUAUUUAGUGUGAGGUGGACGUGGCGGAGGGUGGUGAAUUCACUGCGCACGUUACCGACACCUUGUACCACGCUGACUGGCCGCAGCUAUUCACUAAGGUCGGGCAGGCCUGUAUCUCCGUAUUCUGCUCUAGAAAUGAUGAGUUUGUGCAGCUGUGUGGCAUUGACGAGUGCCAGAAUAAGAAUGUCGGGUGUGUGUGAGCCCCUUUGCAUCAACACUUGAGAGUCAUACCGCUACUACUGCCAGUGCCGGCCAGGAAGUUCAACUAUGAAGUGUUGGUGUAAAUAGCAUGGAAUCACCACUACUACUACUACUACUACACUAGUUAAUUGGCAGUCUUACCUGGAAGAGACGGAAAUGGUACGUGUCCCUGUACCGUUGACAGUAUCAGUAGAGGACUUGACAGGGGCUGAGGCCUGAAGAUAGGGAGGGGCCCAAGGAUGAGUCAAAGCCUUUACCCUUCAUUUAUUCAUUAGAAGUGUUACCAAUAUUUUUAGUUCAGAUAUUAACAGAACACCAAGAAAAUUGAUUCACCUUUUACACUAAGUAAUAAUCUUGGUUAAGUGAUCAAUCCACACAUGUUGGUAUUUGAGAUCUAUAAGUGUUAUGAGAUUUAACACUCAAACACUUAUCUUUACUGUGAAAUUAUGAAGUACUUUAAAUUUCUUUGAUAGUGAUGGAAGUAAAGAUCUAAGUGUUGUGAGAUUUAACACUCAAACACUUAUCUUUACUGUGAAAUUAUGAAGUACUAUGAAUUUCUUUGAUUGUGAUGGAAGUUAAUGAUGCAGAAAAGUGUGCAUCUACCAUCUAUUUAUUUGUUCAAUCAAGAUUAAACAACGAGAAAGGUAAUAAUAGUUUUGGGCAUAGCAUACUCAUCAUGUGUUUUAGAUCCAAUACUGAUGAUAUCACUACUCUUGAGACAACAGAAUCCAUGUUGAAAAUAUAAGUAUGUAUUUAUUGAACUAAAAGUAAAACCCACUAAUAUCAGGAUUAAUGUGACAUACUUGCAUACUACCCAUUCUCCAGAAAGUGUUUUGUUAUUCAAUUAACAUGCCAUAUCAGUGGUUCAGAUCUUUGUUUGUUUUGUUUCACAUAUGAAGUGAAGAGAAGAGUGAAACUGUUACUUGAGAAAUGUGGAGGGAGUGAGUUUUUUAGUGUUGUUGUUAAAAUAUAUUGUCUUUUCCUGGCUAAAACCUCCAUAUCCUAUUGAAUAAAUAUUACUUCUAAAAACUACACUUGCCUUUCUAAGAGAGGAUGAUCGCUGGACUCCCGAAGACUGACUAGAUGGUGUGCGGGUCCGACCAGUGAAGGACGGUGUGCGUCUCAUUGGUGUUCGACCACCAUCAUUGGAAUCGAGAGACACUUCUGAGCCAGCACGACUUGGAGGCCGUGAGCCUGGACGGGACCCUGGGCCUCUGGACUGAGGACGGCUCCCUCCACGACUGCCAGGUUGACUUUCACCUAGGAAACAAGUACAUAUUGAGUUAACACAUAAAACUAGAUGUGAAGUCUUGAAACAAGCAAUUUGCAAAUAUUCAUUACUAAUGGAAAUUUUAUUUUAUUUAUUUAUUUUUUUUUUUACGUUAUGGCCUAUAGCGCCUGCAAGUUCACUUGAAGACUAUGGGAAGUGCUGUCCAGCCUCCACCCAUUAGCAGCGCAGGCAAUUUUAUUUAUAUUGGUAUCCAUAUUAGUGCCCAUAUCACCACCCAAGUGCAUCUUUGGUGUAAGGCAAUUACACCUCCACCUGGGUAUCAUGGUGAUAUGUAGGUAACUUUAAACCACUCCACAAAUGACAAAUGACAGUAUGUGGUGGGAUUUGAACCUACGCAUGGACGUCUGCCUGAUUACACGCUCGCCACCACUUCUCAUCUUUAGUAUGUGUGUGUUCUUGUAUUAGCUACGUAUGUAUUCCCUUAAUUGGAGUCAAGUCUAGUAUACGAGCAUACAAGAGAUGAAUAAACUACUGUACCCACCUGAUGUAUUGUAUGAUGAGCGAGAAGUAACUGGGGCAGAGGCCUUGCGUUUGCCUCCGUGUAGGUGGAAUCCAGAUGAGCCUCCUUCUUCACUGAAGGAAGAGUCAGGUGUGCCGGCACUGAAGGAAGCCCGGCCCAUUGCUGAGCUUUUGGCUGUUCUCUCACGAACCUUUAGAAAAUCACGGUAAUUUUGAUUCAGUAUAGAUACAAUUAAUUAUUUUGGAUAUGUUCAAAUUCAUCAGAACUGAAGCACUAUGAAUCAAUAUCUAAAUUCAUUGAAAUUUGUCACUUAAAAACUUAGGUAGCCAAAUAAAUUUAAAAAUGUAUAACAAAUUGCAGUUCAUGCCUGAUGACAAGCCCAAUUAAUGGCAAAUACAAAUAGCAGACUUUAAAACGAGCAAAAUCUACAAUAUGCUUCACAACAAGUAACCUUCACAGUUUCAUCCACAUACCUUAAGAAUACUUGGAUUUAAAAUGAAAUGCCACUCACCAUGUCUCAUUUAUGAAAAGUUGUAUUUAUGAAGACAGUUAUUCUUGUGUGCAACUCACUCAAUGUAUACAUUUGUAUGUAAUCUGACUUUACUGUAACAUGUUGAUUUUAAGAUUCUGACUUUGCAUUAAAAAUGUUUAAAAAU